rnacentral:rRNA from 1 species
UACGGAGGAGGCAAGCGUUAUCCGGAAUUAUUGGGCGUAAAAGCGUCCGCAGGUGGCACCUCAAGUCUGCUGUCAAAGACCGGGGCUUAACCCCAGAAAGGCAGUGGAAACUGAAGUGCUAGAGUGCAGUAGGGGUAGAGGGAAUUCCCGGUGUAGCGGUGAAAUGCGUAGAGAUCGGGAAGAACAUCGGUGGCGAAGGCG